rnacentral:rRNA from 1 species
AACGAACGCUGGCGGCAUGCCUAACACAUGCAAGUCGAACGAGACCUUCGGGUCUAGUGGCGCACGGGUGCGUAACGCGUGGGAAUCUGCCCUUAGGUUCGGAAUAACUCAGGGAAACUUGAGCUAAUACCGGAUAAUGACGUAAGUCCAAAGAUUUAUCGCCUAGGGAUGAGCCCGCGUAGGAUUAGCUAGUUGGUGGGGUAAAGACCUACCAAGGCGACGAUCCUUAGCUGGUCUGAGAGGAUGAUCAGCCACACUGGGACUGAGACACGGCCCAGACUCCUACGGGAGGCAGCAGUGGGGAAGUAUUGGUACAAUGGGCGAAAGCCUGAUCCAGCAAUGCCGCGUGAGUGAUGAAGGCCUUAGGGUUGUAAAGCUCUUUUACCCGGG